CCCUCCCUUGUGGCUGCACAAUAGAGAUCACCCCUAUUCGCCAAGCUCCAGUUCUCCCGGGUCAUGCUGCUCCAGUAGAGGCAUCAGCAUCCCUGGUGGCGAUCCUGGAGCCUUCUCAAUGGCUGGAGAUAUCACUCUCAUGGCAAGCCCUCUUAUGCAUGGGAUACAACAACACCCACAAGUGACCAUUAUAGCACCACAUGAAGCAAGCGAUAAAAGAACAGACAUUAUCAAACCUUUCCACUGGCCGAACAUCGAGGUGUCCUCAGGUGGGGUCGCGAACCUCUUCGCUGGGGGAAUGAAGACCCGAUGCCAACCUGGGAAACCUGUAACAACAUACAACACACAUCAUUAUUGUCCAUGUCCAUGUACCACUUAAUUCUAUUAUCAUUUCCCCAGACCUUUCUCUGUAACCCUGUCAUCUUGGUAUGAGUGGUAGCCACUCGGUGUCCUAUACCCCCUUUUGUUACAGUAUUCUUCAGUUCCUUCCCCUAAGAGUCUAUUCCCCUGACGCCGUGCUUUGUCUCCUUCACUCGCUCGUAGUCCCGCCGUGUCCUGGGGUCCGCUCCUGGCACCGG
ensembl:lncRNA